rnacentral:rRNA from 1 species
ACAAGCGGUGGAGCAUGUGUUUAAUUCGAAGCAACGCGCAGAACCUUACCAGCCCUUGACAUCCCGGUCGCCGGUUUCCAGAGAUGGAUUCCUUCAGUUUCGGCUGGACCGGUGACAGGUGCUGCAUGGCUGUCGUCAGCUCGUGUCGUGAGAUGUUGGGUUAAGUCCCGCAACGAGCGCAACCCUCGCCCUUAGUUGCCAUCAUUCAGUUGGGCACUCUAAGGGGACUGCCGGUGAUAAGCCGAGAGGAAGGUGGGGAUGACGUCAAGUCCUCAUGGCCCUUACGGGCUGGGCUACACACGUGCUACAAUGGCCGGCACAGCGGGAAGCGAGGCAGUGAUGCCAAGCGGAUCCCUUAAAGCCGGUCUCAGUUCGGAUUGAAGUCUGCAACUCGACUUCAUGAAGCUGGAAUCGCUAGUAAUCGCAGAUCAGCCAAGCUGCGGUGAAUACGUUCCCGGGCCUU